UACGAAGGGGGCUAGCGUUGCUCGGAAUUACUGGGCGUAAAGCGCACGUAGGCGGCUUUCUAAGUCGGGGGUGAAAUCCUGGAGCUCAACUCCAGAACUGCCUUCGAUACUGGAAAGCUCGAGUCCGGGAGAGGUGAGUGGAAUUCCUAGUGUAGAGGUGAAAUUCGUAGAUAUUAGGAAGAACACCAGUGGCGAAGGCGGCUCACUGGCCCGGUACUGACGCUGAGGCGCGAAAGCGUGGGGAGCAAACAGG
rnacentral:rRNA from 1 species